rnacentral:rRNA from 1 species
CCUACGGGAGGCUGCAGUGGGGAAUAUUGGACAAUGGGGGCAACCCUGAUCCAGCCAUGCCGCGUGUGUGAAGAAGGCCCUCGGGUUGUAAAGCACUUUCAGUGAGGAAGAACGCCUGGUGGUUAAUACCCAUCAGGAAAGACAUCACUCACAGAAGAAGCACCGGCUAACUCCGUGCCAGCAGCCGCGGUAAUACGGAGGGUGCGAGCGUUAAUCGGAAUUACUGGGCGUAAAGCGCGCGUAGGUGGCUUGAUAAGCCGGUUGUGAAAGCCCCGGGCUCAACCUGGGAACGGCAUCCGGACCUGUCAAGCUAGAGUGCAGGAGAGGAAGGUAGAAUUCCCGGUGUAGCGGUGAAAUGCGUAGAGAUCGGGAGGAAUACCAGUGGCGAAGGCGGCCUUCUGGACUGACACUGACACUGAGGUGCGAAAGCGUGGGUAGCAAACAGGAUUAGAUACCCUAGUAGUC